GUGAUCAUCCCACCUCAGCCUCCCAAACUGCUGAGGCUACAGAACCGCUCUGACCAUGGCAUUGAGAAUAGAAUGUUGGGGGCAAAGGCAAGAGAGCCAAAUAGAAGACCCUUAUAAUGAUCCAAGAAUGAUGGGAAAGGAGAUGGUGAGGAGAGGCUGGCUUCUGGAUAUACUUUGAAGACCUGCCACACCCGAAGCCUUCUUCAGCUCCAUGGAUGGCUCUCUUCUUCCAAUUGCCCAACAAAAACCCUGGCGUUGCCUUGAAGCACCCCACAUUGAAUCCAUUGGAAAAUCCUACUGGCUCUGCCUUCCUGACUCUGCCCACCGCUGCCUGCCUCCACUGCUCCCAACCUUGUCUGAGCCACAGUGACUUCUCACCUGGUUACUGCAAUGGCCCCAUCUACUCCCCCAGCUUCCUCCUUGUCCCCCUGAAGUUCAUUUAUUUUUAUUUUUAUUUUUAAAUUAAGUAGAGACAUAGUCUCACUAUGGUGUCCAGGCUGGU
rnacentral:lncRNA from 1 species